rnacentral:rRNA from 1 species
CGCACGGGUGAGUAACACGUAUCCAACCCGCCGUCUACUCUUGGACAGCCUUCUGAAAGGAAGAUUAAUACAAGAUGGCAUCAUGAGUUCACAUGUUCACAUGAUUAAAGGUAUUCCGGUAGACGAUGGGGAUGCGUUCCAUUAGAUAGUAGGCGGGGUAACGGCCCACCUAGUCUUCGAUGGAUAGGGGUUCUGAGAGGAAGGUCCCCCACAUUGGAACUGAGACACGGUCCAA